rnacentral:rRNA from 1 species
GACGAACGCUGGCGGCGUGCUUAACACAUGCAAGUCGAGCGGUAAGGCCCUUUCGGGGGUACACGAGCGGCGAACGGGUGAGUAACACGUGGGUGACCUGCCCUCAGCUCUGGGAUAAGCCUGGGAAACCGGGUCUAAUACUGGAUAUGACUCCAUGACGCAUGUUGUGGGGUGGAAAGCCUUGUGCGGCUGAGGAUGGGCCCGCGGCCUAUCAGCUUGUUGGUGGGGUGAUGGCCUACCAAGGCGACGACGGGUAGCCGGCCUGAGAGGGCGACCGGCCACACUGGGACUGAGACACGGCCCAGACUCCUACGGGAGGCAGCAGUGGGGAAUCUUGGACAAUGGGCGCAAGCCUGAUCCAGCGAUGCCGCGUGUGUGAAGAAGGCCUGCGGGUUGUAAAGCACUUUCAGUAGGAAGAAAAGCCGAGUGCUAAUAUCACUCGGUCUUGACGUUACUUACAGAAGAAGCACCGGCUAACUCCGUGCCAGCACGCCGCC